CUUAAAUCUUGCUGCGGUGGAAGUGGUGGAGUCUUUGAUUCUUUCUGCUUGCCCCGCCCCCCGUCGCUGAGCAGCGCUGCUAGGCCCCGCCCACCUCCUAGGCUUUCCAAUAAGCCCGACUUCCCGCCAUGCCUUUGGCUGGAGCCUAGCCCCGCCUCAUGGGCUGUGGGAGGUGCUGCAGCCUUUGGCUACUCGUGCCCCAGCCCCAGCCCCAGCCCCGGCGUUACCCCAGGAAGGCUCUAGUGGUGGCUGAGCCCUGGCGGCUGCUCGCAGGCUCCAGGGCCUGGCUUGGGACGACGCAGGAGAGGUGGGCGCCCUUUGGCCUGGCCGGCUGCUCUCGCCCCGCCAUGGCUGAGCCAGCGCCCUGAGGAGAGGGCGCGGUGGUGGCAAGACGGUGACUCUUGAAUGUGUGGCUUUGUAGUGAUGAGAUGCCGAGGGGCCAACCCAGAGGUCGUCUCUCUGCAAUCCUGGUUCCUAGGAGGAGUUGGGAUGUUCUUGCGAAUAGUCCCCAGAUUUAAACAAUUAGGGACAGGAAACUGAGCAUUCCUGGGGUAAAUAGACCGUGGCUUUGAAAUUCGCUUUGCUGAUUUGUCCGGAAGAGCCCGGAUUUGUGGACAUUCAGGGUACUUUGGAAAGCACAUCUGGCAUAUGAAAGGCAUUUUGUGAGCUGGUUUCAUCAAAAUAGGGAGCCUGCUGCGAUGAACUUUGUGGAUCUCCUUGUUCUAAAGCAGUGGUUUUCAACCUUGUUGCAUUUGAGGACCCCUAAAAAGUUUCAAAUGGAGAUGUUGACCCCUUUGGAAAUCUUAGACAUAGUCUGCGGCCCUGAGGUUGAAAACCACUGUUCAAUGGUAACAACAACCUUUUGUGGAAUCCUUAGAUAUAGUCUGCGGACCCCAGAUUGAAAACCACUGCUGUAAAGUGCAGAGGGAAGCAGCACCAUGGUAAUAAUCAUUCUUGGCAUAUAUUUAGCACUUUCCCCCAUAGAUCGCAAAGUAUUUUACAAAGGUGGGUAAAUAUUGUCUUGAUUUUUACAGAUGGAGAAACUGAGGAACAGAGAAGUGGCUUACUUAGGGCUUGUACACACUAGCCUUUGUCGGUAUAACUUAUGUUGCUCAGGGGUGUGAAAAAGCCAUCCUCCGGAUGGAUGUAAGUUACACCAACUUAAUUACCAGUGUGGUAACCAGACCUUCUCCCACCAACAUAACUACCACUGUGACAGGAUCCCUGGGGUGCAGUCUGGGACUGUGGGACCACAGUGCCCCCUAAACUCUCUCCAGCCUGGGCUGUCUCUCACAACCCCUUGCUGGUGACCAGCAGCAAACCUGUGUAAUCACUCAGCACAACCGCAUGUGGAGCUAGAUUGCAUGAGUGCUUCCAGAGCCACUCAUGAAUCACUCAGAGAAAGGCACCAGAGCCAACCCCUCCCAGCUCCCCGCACUGUAUCUCAGGAAUAUACCAUCUUGCACUGCUCAAGAUGGGCAGUGCAGAUUUAUUAAUUAGGUCAGUACUUCAUCAAUGGAAAGUGGCUAUACACCAGCCUUUGCAAAACCUGAGCAGAUUUGCCAAACACUUGAUACAAAUUCAUUGGUAAAGAUAAACAAUAAAACAAAUGUAUUGACUACAAAACAUAGAUAUUAAGUGAUAGGCAAAAUGUCAGACUUAGUUACCAAAAGAAAUAAAAUAUAAGCACUCAAUCUAAACUGUCAACCCUAUUAGACUGGGCAACAACUAGACUAUGCAGUUUUUUUCACCCCACUGGAUAUUGCGGUCCUUAAUAUACAGAUUUGUCCGUUAAAUUUGGGCCGGUCUCCUCUGUUGGAGUCUUCAGUCUUCUGAGUGUCUUUGUUGCUUGCAGCAUAGGUGGGGGGCAGGAGGAAAGGCCCAGCAUGUGGCCACUGUUUCUGUCUCAUAACCUUAGUCCCACGUGCUUGGGGAGCACGAGUCCAAGCAUGUCUGGGGACAUUGCUGAGUCUCCAGGCAAAGUUGAGCAAUUCCCCUGAUGUGGCCUCAUGCAGGUGAAUCAAUGAAUUAUAGCUCCCUUGCUGGACAAUGGUUGUUGAUGGGUUGUUUAACACCCCGCCCAGGUGUUGGUUACUUUCCUUGCUGUUGCCUCUGGGGGGAUAAUAUCUGGCUGAUUCCCCAAUUUACAGCAUAUUUUGCUGUCAGCCUUUCAACACAAUUCUCCUAACUUCAUAUGCAUUAGUGAUAUACAUAUAUGGAUAGAGAAAUGACUUUCAGCAGAUCAUAACCUUUCCCCUGAUACCUUACAAGGCAUGCUUUAUAUGUAAUGUCACAAUUAUAUACAGAUGAGGAAUAUGGGGGGUUACUGGGUGCUCUCCCAAAAUACAGAAUGUCACAACCGUGUCUCGCAGAGGCGGAUUUAUUAUGCUGACUGGAAAGCUCUCUCCCAUCGGCAGUAGCAGCCCUACAGCAGCACAGCUGCAUUGGUGCAGCUGCACCGCUGUAGUGAUUCUAGCGUAGACUAGCUCUUAAUGUCACACAGCAAGUCACCGGCAGAGGAAAAAGAGAACUCUGGUCUCAGUCUGGUGCUCUUUUCACUGGACUAUGCUGCCUCGCAAUGGAGAGGAGGGGCAGUGUGGAGAAGAGAAGGCUGUGAAAUACCAGCAUCCUGUCUCAGACUAUACCGUCAUCAGUAGCCCUUCUCCUGCUGACUAACUGAGCUGAGAUAGGGGUUUGGGGUGUGGAGUGGAAUAAGGGAAUGGCUGCUCCAUCAAGCAUGUUUUCCUCGUAGAAUGACAUAAUCUGAGCUGGAAUAUCCUUUGGAAGUUAAUGCUGCUCCCUACGCACGGCCUUCCUCCCAACUAGUGUUCCAGGGAGCUGGAAUACAGGUGGCAGAUGGGAACACCGUGGCAGCACAGCAACUGAGACAGCUCUGAUGCCAGGCCUGGGGAGCAUGGAUGUAAAGGGAAUUUUUCACCAUAUAUUUUUUUCCCUUCUGAUCUCAGAUCUAUGGGAGGUUUGAAGACCGUAUUCCCUUGCACCAGUGCCAUCAGAUCAGCCCCUCUCAAGAUAAUGAAGAACAUUUUAAUUGUGAAAGCUGAGAAGAUUUAAAAGAUUGUUCACAGUAAUUCUUUCCUGAAAAAGAGACUUUCAAUGGGAGGUUAGGAUCCUUUUCCAAACAAAAGGUUCUGCUACUGUAAUUUACCUUCAGUGUUUUUUGCUCUUGGAGAGAUAAAUGUGUUACCUCAUUUUAGUUUUAUUAUACAUGAAAGGACAAAGACUCAUACUCGUGAGAAAUGGAACAUGUUUGAAUCUUAGUGCGUGGUGGGUGAGAUCAUCUGUACCUGCUAAUGACCUUUUCGCUGUUGAAUCAGCAUGAAGGGAUUUUAUACCAUCCUUGAGGGCUUGCUGAGGAUAGCCAAAGCUUUGUAGAUCAAAGUCCUGCAUUGCUACAUUCCCCCCUCCUCCCACACACACCCCUCCCCUAAUUUAUAAAAUUUCUUCACUAUCCAGGAUUCUUAAAAAGGUGUUCAGCCCUGUGUUUUGGCUGUCACACUGUAUCAUGUAUAGUAUCAGAAGGGUCUACACUAUGUGGAGUGAAAUGACAAAACCUUGAGCUAGCAUUAUCCUUUUAUAUGAUCUACAAGGAAAAUGACAAAACAGAUAAAUAUAGUAUCAUUGGGAAUCUUGUCUAGAGUCUGCACCCUUCACAAAUGUGACUUGGUUUUCCACUUCCGUAAACCAAUUGUUUGUUUGUUUUGCCUGGGCCAUGAAUAGAUUACUGAUAACAAAAGCACUGUAUGUGUGAGACAAAAAUUCAGGGUAUGUUCAGAGGCUCAAAAUAAUUGUUAUUUAUGAAGGAUUUUACAUUAUUAUGUUUUUCUCAAGAUGUAGCCAUGUUUUCAUAAUGAGCAGUCUGUGGACAAUAUUAUUUUAAAAGCUACAAUUAAAUAAUAGUAGCAAACUAGCAAACGCAUCCUUGCAUUUCUAGGAAACAACCUGCUUUAACAAUUUAUAAAUGAAUUAAUUCUGUUCUAAUUCUUAUGUUACUUUCUGCUAAAGAACUUUGCAAUUGUGAAACAAUUAAUAUGAUGCUGUGUGGAAAAAUUGGCCAUGCUUGAAACAACUUAAAAAACAGAUUAGUUACAAAACUCCUGGGUGCACAAGCACACACACAGACGCACAAACACACACAGCCAGUUGUUAGACAUUUCUCUCUUUAUUUUGCUCAGUUGGCUGAGUGCCACUUCUUCAUAUGAUUGAUGUUUCUUACCAGAUAAAAUUUAGAUCCAACCACCUAUUAAAUAAUUAUGGAAGUGUGAUCUGUUGUUACAGCUUAAACUGGAUGGUAAAUACAGGCGACUAAUCCAUUUAGGAAAGACAGCUUGUGUCCUGCUAUUCCAAAAGAGGAAUUGUAGAGGAUUUACAAGGGAGAUCGCAGUAGCAUUCUGAUUUUCUGCCACACAUGCUAGUCUGAUGUUUAGAGAGUGAUAUCCCCAGAGAGGUGUGUGAAAAAUGAUGGUUGCAUUGAAUCAGGCAACAGGUCAGUACAGGCCAAUGUUUCCUUCUUAGAAAUAACUCACUUUUCCAAAGCGAAAAAGCAGUUUAAGUAUAAGUAACAUAAUCCAAGUUAAUUUUGACAUUACUUUUAAAAAUGGGUGUUUGGGGGGGAAAAUGUCUUUAUAAUGGUGGGGUUUUUUUUAAAGAGUAGUAAUGAAUGUAAAAGAAAAGUAACCAAGAUGUAGAAUAGUUAAAAUAGCUAUUAUGUAUUUAUUUAAGUUUUCUGCUGUAAAAAAGAUUAAGCUGUUUUGGGGGAAGGGGCCAUGACUAAACUUUAAAAAGUAGAAGCUUUCCAGGUGAUUAGUCCUUAGAAGUUAUUGCCAGCCCAGUUUGGGGAAAAAAUCAAUUGUUUAUCAAUCAGUUAUGUUGUCAGAAGCUGGGAAUGAGCAGCAGGGGAUGGAUUACUUGAUGAUUACCUGUUCUGUUCAUUCCCUCUGGAGCACCUGGCACUGGCCACUGUCGGUAGACAGGGUACUAGGCUAGAUGGACCAUGACUCAGUAUUGACCGUUCUUAUUCUUGGAAUCAGUUUUUGCAUAUAUACAAUAUGAAAUGUCUACUGAGUCCAGAUUUGCAUGUUAUUUAUGGAACAAUGAUCUAAUGUAAAUACACAGUAUUGAUGUUACCUCGUUA